CCCAAGCCCAGCCCAGUUCCACCCCUACCAAGGGGUUGGUGCUUUUGAGUUUUUAGCCAUUGGAUGGAGAGAUGUAGGGUUGAGAUGAUGGUGGUAGAUGGUGGUAGGUAAAAUAAUGUUUGGUCCAAAGGCUAUUAGUAAUUAAGGAGUAGAUCCAAUGGCUAGAAACUUAGAAACACAAAGUGGUUGGUGCUUCUAAAAGUAUUAUAGCUCAAAUAAAUAAAUAUAUAUAUAUAUAUAUAUAUAUAUAUAUAUAUAAAAGCUUCUUAAAUUUUAUAAAAAAAAUUACCAAAUAUAUAUUAAAAAACUUACAAACUCAAAAAAAAUAAUAUUACAAAUGAAUUAGAA
rnacentral:lncRNA from 1 species